rnacentral:lncRNA from 1 species
AUUUUCAAAGGGGUGUGUGAUGUGGGCAUCUGAGUUUCUUCUGGGAGUGAAUAUUGGCAACUAUGUAAGUAAAUCUUCAACUCUGACUUAUAAUUGAGCACAUUUGUGAAGGAAAUGGUUAAUUUUACAACCAAAGGCAAACUCGCACCUCGACAGGUCUGCUGAAAGAAAUGUGCCCCAGUCUUUUUGCUGGCAAGCGCACCACCAGGUCAUAAAUCCACAGGCUUUAUUUACAGCCCAUAACACUUAUGAAUGUUAAGAUAUUUGACGCCACGUUGGCCUUAUAAUAUUCAAGGUCCGCAGACAUUGGCAGUAGCUCAGAUUUCUCUCACUAAUUAUAAGCAAUGAGAUGGGGGGAGGUGGUGGUAUCCUAAUGCAAAUGCUGCCCUCCCUUCUCCGCUGACCCCCACCUCUACAAUCUUGAGUUUACUGAGACAGACGCCACCACUCCUUUGGCAGCUGACUUGUACGUUUCCUCUAGGCUAUUGUUAUACACAUUUAUAAAGAGCACUUUCAGGAAUGGAAAUUCAGUGGGGGCUCUGCACAGAUGCCUUUUUCAAAAGCAAAGUUGCUCUAGGUGUUUGCAUCUUUUCCCUUUUCUUUUCUCCCUUUUUCCUUUCUUUCUCUUUUCUUAAUUCCCCCCAACACCCCCACCU